rnacentral:rRNA from 1 species
GCGGGGAAGGGUAGCUUGCUACCUAACCUAGCGGCGGACGGGUGAGUAAUGCUUAGGAAUCUGCCUAUUAGUGGGGGACAACAUUCCGAAAGGAAUGCUAAUACCGCAUACGCCCUACGGGGGAAAGCGGGGGAUCUUCGGACCUUGCGCUAAUAGAUGAGCCUAAGUCAGAUUAGCUAGUUGGUGGGGUAAAGGCCUACCAAGGCGACGAUCUGUAGCGGGUCUGAGAGGAUGAUCCGCCACACUGGGACUGAGACACGGCCCAGACUCCUACGGGAGGCAGCGGUGGGGAAUAUUGGACAAUGGGCGCAAGCCUGAUCCAGCCAUGCCGCGUGUGUGAAGAAGGCCUUUUGGUUGUAAAGCACUUUAAGCGAGGAGGAGGCUACCGAGAUUAAUACUCUAGGAUAGUGGACGUUACUCGCAGAAUAAGCACCGGCUAACUCUGUGCCAGCAGCCGCGGUAAUACAGAGGGUGCGAGCGUUAAUCGGAUUUACUGGGCGUAAAGCGUGCGUAGGCGGCUUUUUAAGUCGGAUGUGAAAUCCCUGAGCUUAACUUAGGAAUUGCAUUCGAUACUGGGAAGCUAGAGUAUGGGAGAGGAUGGUAGAAUUCCAGGUGUAGCGGUGAAAUGCGUAGAGAUCUGGAGGAAUACCGAUGGCGAAGGCAGCCAUCUGGCCUAAUACUGACGCUGAGGUACGAAAGCAUGGGGAGCAAACAGGAUUAGAUACCCUGGUAG